rnacentral:tRNA from 1 species
UCCUGGGUGACUCAGUCGGUUGAGGGUCUGACUUAGGCUGAGGUCCCAUUUUAUGGUUUGUGGGUUUGAACCCCACCCCAGGCU